UCGGGACCGCUGCGCACGAUGCGACAGAGGCGCAGGCAGGGGCUGCGACCCAGCUAGAGGCCAACGUGCAUUGGGUUAGGCCGGAAACAG
rnacentral:SRP_RNA from 14 species